rnacentral:lncRNA from 1 species
AAAAUGGAUCUUUGAGAAGAACUUUGUUUUCUUUCAUUUAAAUAUGAACAGCUUGCAGAUUUGAACAUCCAGUACUCCAACAAGUUGCUGAUGCUCCCAUAUUCAUACACCACUUACUGUAAACAAGUGUCAUAGUACAAAACAGCAUAUGGAGUUCACCAAUGAAACUACUCAUUUUUACUAACUUCUGCUUUCUAACCACCAGUAAACACAGAGUCAUCAAGCUAAGUGAUCCUUUCAAAGCUAGCCAAUCAUGAAGACUGUGGAAUCAGAAGUUAUCAAAUAUUAAAGAUGUAAGUCACCACCUACUUCAGACAGACCUCUUGUCCUGGUG